CCGUAUCUUCCCUCUCAUUUUAUCACUCGAUAGGUUCGUAUAUUAGAAUUAGUUUUCAGAAAACUCAACUUUAUAAAGACUUGAUUUUGGAAUGAAAACUUGGUUUUCUGUAUUCUUAUUGAGAUACAAAUUCUAAUUCUGAUUUCUUGUGAAAGCUUUGAUGCGUACAAAUACUGUAAACUGUAAAAUGAUUGAUAUGUCUUGGAUAGUAAUGUGUGUACACAGGAAGGAAGGUUGAAAUUAAUACCUUUGCUGAACCUUGCUGAAAGAAUAACUCUGCUCAAAACGAACACUCUGUACUUUAGAAUUUAGCAAUUGAAGUUUGUGGUUUUAAAACUGAUUCAUUUGAGUUAAUUUAUAGGCGAAUUGUUGCGACAAUGGAGUUUAUGAACGUGGAAUUUUUGGUGUGUGAAAGUCGGCUGCUUUUGAACAAAAUAAGAUUUGCUGCGGCUGUAUCUACUUUUGAAAAAAAAUGAGAUUUGCUGCGGCUAGAGAUCUGAAAUCUUUGAAAUCUGCAAUCUUUGAGUCGGAGGGGAAGGUUGAGCAUGCUUAAGGAAUAGCACACAUACACUUUCUUUUUNUUUCUUUUCUUUUUUUUUUUAGUGUUGAUUGAUAGGUAGAAAAAUAGUGAAGUGUAAACAGAGGCAAUAAUUCUUGUAUUGGAAUUUCUAUAUCUGUAAUAUUGUAUUGCGUUUUUAAAUAAAAAUCAACUCCCGGGUUUUGUUAAUAUCGCGUGUUUAUAAAACUACUCGAUAUCAUGCUUCCUUGCUUAGCUAAAAUAAUUCUAAAUUAAAUCCGUAGAUUUAAUUCUUCAUAAGCCGGAAUAAAUUCACGACUCAAG
rnacentral:lncRNA from 1 species